rnacentral:rRNA from 1 species
CGCUGGCGGCGUGCUUAACACAUGCAAGUCGAACGGGAUCCUGCGGGCUUUGCUUGCGGGUGAGAGUGGCGAACGGGUGAGUAAUGCGUGACCAACCUGCCCCAUGCUCCGGAAUAGCUCCUGGAAACGGGUGGUAAUGCCGGAUGCUCCCGCGCCCCGCAUGGGGUGUGGGGAAAGCUUUCGUGGCAUGGGAUGGGGUCGCGUCCUAUCAGCUUGUUGGCGGGGUGAGGGCCCACCAAGGCGUUGACGGGUAGCCGGCCUGAGAGGGCGACCGGCCACAUUGGGACUGAGAUACGGCCCAGACUCCUACGGGAGGCAGCAGUGGGGAAUAUUGCACAAUGGGCGCAAGCCUGAUGCAGCGACGCCGCGUGCGGGAUGGAGGCCUUCGGGUUGUAAACCGCUUUUGUUUGGGAGCAAGCCCUUCGGGGUGAGUGUACCUUUCGAAUAAGCMCCGGCUAACUACGUGCCAGCAGCCGCGG